UACAGAGGUGGCAAGCGUUGUUCGGAAUUACUGGGCGUAAAGGGCGCGUAGGCGGUCCGAUAAGUCCCGUGUGAAAGCCCCCGGCUCAACUGGGGAACUGCACGGGAAACUGACGGACUUGAGUUCGGGAGAGGGAAGCGGAAUUCCGGGUGUAGCGGUGAAAUGCGUAGAUAUCAGGAGGAACACCGGUGGCGAAGGCGGGUCUCUGGGCCGAUACUGACGCUGAGGAGCGAAAGCGUGGGGAGCGAACAGG
rnacentral:rRNA from 1 species